rnacentral:rRNA from 1 species
UACGUAGGGGGCAAGCGUUGUCCGGAAUCAUUGGGCGUAAAGCGCGUGUAGGCGGCCCGCUAAGUCCGCUGUGAAAGUCCAGGGCUCAACCCUGGGAUGCCGGUGGAUACUGUCGGGCUCGAGUCCGGAAGAGGAGUGUGGAAUUCCUGGUGUAGCGGUGAAAUGCGCAGAUAUCAGGAGGAACACCAAUGGCGAAGGCAGCACUCUGGGACGUGACUGACGCUGAGACGCGAAAGCGCGGGGAGCGAACGGG